GGUCUGUUGGUCAAGUGGUUAAGACACCGCCCUUUCAUGGCAGAGACAUGGGUUCGACUCCCGUACAGAUCACCA
rnacentral:tRNA from 1 species